rnacentral:rRNA from 1 species
GACGUAGGAUGCGAGCGUUGUCCGGAUUUAUUGGGCGUAAAGAGCUCGUAGGCGGUUUGUCGCGUCUGCUGUGAAAACUCGGGGCUUAACUCCGGGCCUGCAGUGGGUACGGGCAGACUAGAGUGCGGUAGGGGAGACUGGAAUUCCUGGUGUAGCGGUGAAAUGCGCAGAUAUCAGGAAGAACACCCGUGGCUAAGGCGGCUCUCUAGUACGGUACUGACGCUGAGACGCGAAAGCGUGGGGAGCGAACAGG